GGUAGGCUUCCGGUUCCCGGCCUCCGGCGGGCCUUUCUACAAAUCUUGGAGGACCCCUCUCUCGGUGGCCGUCCACAGUCUCCUAGGAAGAACUAUUUGGCUUAGAAAGAACCGUGUUUUUGUUUUCUUCUUGUUAGGAAGAUGGGAACUUUAAAAUGGGGUUAAACAACAUACCCUCAAUAACUCUGAAACAAUGAAUUGCUGUGUGCAUAAUACAAAGAGCACUGGAUUUAAGAACUCACUGU